CCUACGGGAGGCUGCAGUAGGGAAUCUUGCGCAAUGGGCGAAAGCCUGACGCAGCAACGCCGCGUGAAUGAUUAAGUAUUUCGGGGUGUAAAGCUCUGUCAGUAGGGACGAAAAUCGACGGUACCUACAGAGGAAGCACAGGCUAACUCCGGGCCAGCAGCAGCGGUAAUACGGCGGGUGCAAGCGUUGUCAGGAAUCAUGGGGCGUAAAGAGUUCGUAGGUGGCAGAGUAAGUCUGGUGUUAAAUGCAGAGGCUCAACUUCGGUACGGCACUGGAGACUGGGAAGCUGGAGUGCGGGAGAGGUAAGGGGAAUUCCUGGUGUAGCGGUGAAAUGCGUAGAUAUCAGGAGGAACAUCGGUGGCGUAGGCGCUUUACUGGACCGUAAUUGACGCUGAGGAACGAAAGCCGGGGUAGCAAAUAGGAUUAGAUACCCUUGUAGUC
rnacentral:rRNA from 1 species